rnacentral:rRNA from 1 species
CGGGAGGCAGCAGUGGGGAAUAUUGCACAAUGGGCGCAAGCCUGAUGCAGCCAUGCCGCGUGUGUGAAGAAGGCCUUCGGGUUGUAAAGCACUUUCAGUCGUGAGGAAGGUAGUGUAGUUAAUAGCUGCAUUAUUUGACGUUAGCGACAGAAGAAGCACCGGCUAACUCCGUGCCAGCAGCCGCGGUAAUACGGAGGGUGCGAGCGUUAAUCGGAAUUACUGGGCGUAAAGCGCAUGCAGGUGGUUUGUUAAGUCAGAUGUGAAAGCCCGGGGCUCAACCUCGGAAUUGCAUUUGAAACUGGCAGACUAGAGUACUGUAGAGGGGGGUAGAAUUUCAGGUGUAGCGGUGAAAUGCGUAGAGAUCUGAAGGAAUACCGGUGGCGAAGGCGGCCCCCUGGACAGAUACUGACACUCAGAUGCGAAAGCGUGGGGAGCAAACAGGAUUAGAUACCCUGGUAGUCCACGCCGUAAACGAUGUCUACUUGGAGGUUGUGGCCUUGAGCCGUGGCUUUCGGAGCUAACGC